rnacentral:rRNA from 1 species
AGUCGAACGCGAAAGGCCCCUUCGGGGGCCGAGUAGAGUGGCGUCCGGGUGAGUAACACGUGGGUAAUCUACCUUCGGGUGGGGAAUAACGACCGGAAACGGUCGCUAAUACCGCAUAAUGCAGCGGCACCUAAUGGUGACAGUUGUUAAAGCGAGGGAUCGCAAGACCUCGCGCCUGAAGAGGAGCCCGCGGCGGAUUAGCUAGUUGGCAGGGUAACGGCCUACCAAGGCGACGAUCCGUAGCCGGCCUGAGAGGGCGGUCGGCCACACUGGCACUGACACACGGGCCAGACUCCUACGGGAGGCAGCAGUCGGGAAUUUUGGGCAAUGGGCGAAAGCCUGACCCAGCAACGCCGCGUGAAGGAUGAAGCUUUUCGGAGUGUAAACUUCAUAAGAAUGGGACGAAUAAGGAGGGGAUAAUACCCCCUUUGAUGACGGUACCAUUUGUAAGCUCCGGCUAACUCCGUGCCAGCAGCCGCGGUAAUACGGGGGGAGCAAGCGUUGUUCGGAUUUACUGGGCGUAAAGGGCGCGUAGGCGGCGCAACAAGUCACUUGUGAAAUCUCCGGGCUUAACCCGGAGCGGCCAAGUGAUACUGUCGUGCUAGAGUGCGGAAGGGGCUACUGGAAUUCUCGGUGUAGCGGUGAAAUGCGUAGAUAUCGAGAGGAACACCUGCGGCGAAGGCGGGUAGCUGGGCCGACACUGACGCUGAGGCGCGAAAGCCAGGGGAGCGAACGGGAUUAGAUACCCCGGUAGUCCUGGCCUUAAACGAUGGAUGCUUGGUGUCCGAGGUUACAUAGUCCUCGGGUGCCGGCGCUAAC